rnacentral:snoRNA from 2 species
GGCCUCCUGGUGACUUUCUUUGGGCUGGGUUUUCUUUGUACUGUCUGUAUAGAAAGAGAAGGCAGAGAAACCCUUCCCUUCACCUCUACUUGAUCUGUAUUGGUUUCAGGAACACAGGUUUAAGAAAGGGAGAGGGAAUAAAAUA